AAAUUACCAUUUUUGGCAAAAAGGGCCGCUCUAGCAAAGAAGAGACUGGUCUAGCUCUUGUAAGUUAGUACAAAUGAAAAGUAUACUAUUGUAGUACAUGCUCCUCAAAAAUCAGACCUUAACUAGCAUAACUCAAAAAAUCAAUGCCUAACACAUUUGCUACUAAAUAUUUACAAAAUUCUGUGUAUCUCAGAACCUACUAACAGCCUGCACUUCCGCUGGUGCUCAAAAGAUGUGCAAGGUAAUGAAGUACUUGCACAACAAAUUUCAGAUCUUAACUCAAACAUAUAAGAUAGUUCCAUGCCUAACAUAUUUUCCAAUGUACACAUAUUCUAGCAGCCAUUUUGGAAUGAUGAUGUCAUAUGAUGUAACAGGUGGUGGUCCACUGGAAGCGCCAAUAGUUGAACUUUCAGUACCUGCACUCAAAUUGAUCCAAUCACAUUUAGUUUAGAAGAUAUACACAAAAACGUGAAAAAACAAAAGUUCUACUCUCUUUGGUUGUUGCACUGUAGUACAGUAGAACCUCCAUUAUCCGGCCCUCCAUUAUCCGGAACCUCGAUUAUCCGGCUUGGCAGUUUUCUUGUUAUCAGAUCAGAAAAUGGGCGUGUCCCUCAAACGCGCAUGCGCGUUGCAGCUGUUACCAUGGAGACAUGCCUGCUUAUCUUCUGCGCAUGCGCAGACAACCAUGUGGCUAGACUCGCAAGCCACUCCCUUUUCUCUGAUUGGACGGGGGCGGGAGAAAAGGGACUGGUGACUCUGGGCUACAGCUUGUGUAAAUCAGGAAUGCUAUUAAAUAUUAAUGUCACGUGCAAAUUAUCCAAUUUAUUCUGAUGCAUCAAAAGCUAAAGACACACAGAAGACAAGUAUACAGAUCUAUCUAGCCAGCCUUUUUUGAUAUUAUAGAUCCUUGUACCAGUGUCUGUUGUGCCACAACUUGUGGAUUAGCAUGGAACAGCUGAUGAACGUAGAAAUCUUGGCAGUCCUUCUUUGAACCGAGGAGUUCGAGUGGCAGCGAUUUAAGACAGCUUGUACAAGUCUGACUACUCUCAAUUCAACUUCUGCCCUCUGCCAUUAUCUGUCUUGUAUUGUACAGGUUAUUAAAAGCUUUAGGCAACCAAUGACUUUCGGCUGCCAGUUCUCAUCACGUAAAACUAAAACAAGCUAAUCUCUGCUGGUACAUGGUGUGAUGACUAUAUCCUAGCUGAAUGCCUGAUGUCUUUAUUACUCCAUCAUCUUCUCUUUUCUAGCACUAGCAUCAUAUCCAUUCUCAAACUGUAACUAAGAAGCCCGCGAUCACUUUUGCAGGGUACGCAAUUCUACUUAACCUCACGCAAUUUUUGGAUCACGUGGAAAAAUCAAUGAAUAAUCUCUACCCAAAUUCUGAUAGAGACACAAAAUGUAGCCCAGAGUCACCAGUCCCUUUUCUCCCGCCCCCGUCCAAUCAGAGAAAAGGGAGUGGCUUGCGAGUCUACCAUGUGGCACUGCUGUUUAUCAAUAAAGUGGGUGGAUCAAGGCGUGGUUUAUCUAUUCGAUUAUCCGGCAUAUUCACUUAUCCGGCCUGCUUCUGGAACCAAGGUGUCCGGAUAAUCGAGGUUCUAUUGUAGCUGGACUGGUUGCAAGAUAAAUCUAGUUUCUAAACUAGUUUCGCAAGCUUUUGCAGACCAUAUAUGGAUACAGGAUGCAACAAAUUAGUUGUGACACAUGCACGAGUGCCACAUGGGAUAUAUUGGCUCAGUAGUGACGUAGGCCCGAGGGCCGCAUGCAUGUGUCACAACUAUAACGUACCGUACCCUCACGAAAAUAAGCCCAUCUUGAAUAAACGCCCAUCCCCUCUUUUUUGCUUCGAAGUUCUUGCACAAGGGUAUUUUCACUCGAUAAGCCCACCCAGAAUGAAAAGUUGAGCAUGCGCAGUAGCUGAAUGCCACAUGUUCACUAUUAAUUUUAGUGAAGAAAGGAAGUUUUAGGUAGUAACUAGUAAGACUAUACUCCUUGCUGGACCAAGAUCAGACAUAUAACUUUUUCUGUAUGGAUCUGUUUGCCCUUGAAGAUGUAUAUGCAGGGAACAAGUAGUCCUUAUAUAAUUAUAUGAAAAGAAACACGAAGUCCAAGAAAGUUAUCACACAGGCCAUUUUUGCAGGUUACCUUGCCUGGUUUUCUGAAACAAAGUACCUGAUAGCUGCUCUGUAGGAGUAUGACCUAGCAUCCUUUGGGAAGUUUCUGCUACAUCGACAUCGACACAAGUGACAAGCAACGAAUAGAGUCAGAGUCCACUUCUUUUUAAUCAUGUUCAUUCUCGCUUUUUAAUCAUACUCAUGCAUUAGUCACGCAGUAGUUUUUAACUUACAUUGUUGUUGUCAAUGAAAUGUUCAUAAACUAAAGAAUUGUCAUAGAGCAAAGUGUAAACUCGAUUUGAGGCCGCGCGGGUGGGCGUAUAUUCGAAUGAAAACUCGCCGUUCGCGAUUAAAACACCCAGUCCCCUAAUAAGCCUAAACUUCUUGCAGAAAAAGGUGGGCGUAUUUUCGCGAGAGUACAGUAUUAUUUAUUCUGUAUGAAAAGCUAUCAUCAGGUCUAAAAGCUGCUAGUAGUUUAGUAACUUUGUGUUCUUUCUUAAUUAUGUUAUAGUUAUUGACUGGUUGACUAGUAAUUAUGGCUUAUAACCAACCAAUGCCGAGGGCGCAGCCCGAGGCUGAGGUUGGUUAUAAACCAUAAUUACUAGGCAACCAGUCAACAACUGAUUUAUUUACUGCAAAAACAGCAAAACAGUCAUUUGAACAUCAAUGGAGACAGUCAAACUUGCUCUCACAGCCACUUGUGCCUCAGAAUAUGCAGUUAGAACAGUUACAGCUGUCAAAUAUGAGAGCUAGCUAGCUAGCUACUUCUAAUUCUCCAAACAGCUAGGUUCUACUGGAAGCUAGCUAGCUAUAAACUUUGACCAGCCCGCCCACCACCAAUAUUCAGCAGCUGCCGUUUUCAAUUUGUAUUGCACGAGUCUACCAACACUGCUCUACCUCUGAUCUGAGCCACAGCUUGACUAGAAACACAGAGCAAGGAUUGAACUGCAGUGUUUCAAGCCUCAUGAACAUGUAAUAAGUAGCUUAGACUGCUAGCUAGCUCAGGUCAAUAUGACAAUAGCACAGAACAUAGUCUACAAACCUUUUUGCUUGCUGUAUUGCUAUUUUACUGUGUACACAGCCAAAAAUCCACUGGUCCGUUUCAGGCCGUUAGUUGAAAACGGGCCGUUACGGGCCCGUGAACGGCCUGUAUACAGGAUGUAGCCCACCCACGUCCUGUGUGCAGGACGUUCUCACAGGCUGUAAACAGGACGUUAGCCCACGUCCUGUUUACAGCCCGUGGAUACGGGCCUGUAUCAGGGCGUAGCAACCACGUCCUGUAUACAGGCUGUUGACAGCUUAUGCGCAUGCGCUAGCUUGAGGCAGGGAUGACGUCACCUGACUACAAAAAGAGAAUGAGACAAAGCUCUGAAAGAUGAGAAAAAAUCAUGCUGCUUGUCACAAGAGGAGCUGCUGGUCCAAAAAGACAGCUUAUAUUAUCUUGUUCUUGUCUUCUUUGUCUUUGAAUUGUGACCUUUGAAGCAUGAUACUAGCUUAUUAAAUUGUGCAUAGUAUAUAGAUAUAUGUUCACUUAAAUUCGCCAGGGUAAAACUGUGAACUUAUGUAGUACCAAUUAUAUUAUAUAUAUAUAUCGGGUUUCGUAUGCGAGUCUCUUUUGAUUGCAAAUUACGAGUUUUUACAUAGAUUGCAAACGAAAGACACGCAAAGAGUGAACAUGGCGCAUGCAUUUCGCAAUCAAAGAAAGUUUCGCGAUCUCCCAACAAGAGCUUUGCAUGUAAAAUAUGAGUUUCUCCCAGUUUUACUUACCGCAGUAACUGCUCUGCCUGAAUUUUGUACCUCACAAAAAUUCCAACUAUAUCUACUGUAGUUAGAAACGCAUUUGGGCUUGUACAUAUACACUUUAUCAUUCACAAAUGAUUAUAACUACACAGUCGAAACCCGAUAUAAUGAAUGUUACAAGCUGCGCUGCGCUAAUGCCUCUUGUCAUGUUUUGCUUUGCUCAUGCAGGAGCUUAAUGGAACAGAAGUCUAUAUCAUGGCUUUGAAGUACACAUCUGAUGACUACCGUAUAUGUUUUGCAUUUCCUGUCUUUAAAGAAAGGGGUGGAUCUGCAAAGAGCCCAUCAAAUGUAUCCAAGCAUAAAAGAGUUAGAAGCAGAUUCUAUGAAGAUGGAAUCACAAUUCUCCAUGCUUGUGUCAGACCUGUGUCGAUCACUUCAAGUUCGACGAAUUCCAAAAGAUUCUUUAAUUGCUAGUUUGAUGAGGUUUAAUUGUCUAAAGAAGGUGUUUGGAAGAAAAAAAAAAAAAUCAGAGUGUUUU